GACGAACGCUGGCGGCGUGCUUAACACAUGCAAGUCGAGCGAUGAAGCUUCUUCGGAAGUGGAUUAGCGGCGGACGGGUGAGUAACGCGUGGGUAACCUGCCUUACACAGGGGGAUAACAGUUAGAAAUGACUGCUAAUACCGCAUAACCCGCUAGUACCGCAUGGUACGGACGGAAAAGAUUUAUCGGUGUAAGAUGGACCCGCGUCUGAUUAGCUAGUUGGUGAGGUAACGGCUCACCAAGGCGACGAUCAGUAGCCGGCUUGAGAGAGUGAACGGCCACAUUGGGACUGAGACACGGCCCAGACUCCUACGGGAGGCAGCAGUGGGGAAUAUUGCACAAUGGGGGAAACCCUGAUGCAGCAACGCCGCGUGAAGGAAGACGGUCUUCGGAUUGUAAACUUUUGUUCUUAGUGAAGAAUUAUGACGGUAGCUAAGGAGAAAGCCACGGCUAACUACGUG
rnacentral:rRNA from 1 species